rnacentral:rRNA from 1 species
UGGGGAAUAUUGCACAAUGGGCGCAAGCCUGAUGCAGCCAUGCCGCGUGUAUGAAGAAGGCCUUCGGGUUGUAAAGUACUUUCAGCGGGGAGGAAGGGAGUAAAGUUAAUACCUUUGCUCAUUGACGUUACCCGCAGAAGAAGCACCGGCUAACUCCGUGCCAGCAGCCGCGGUAAUACGGAGGGUGCAAGCGUUAUUCGGAAUUACUGGGCGUAAAGCGCACGCAGGGGGUUUGUUAAGUCAGAUGUGAAAUCCCCGGGCUCAACCUGGGAACUGCAGCUGAUACUGGCAAGAUUGAGGAUCGGAGAGGGGGGUAGAAUUCCAGGUGGAGCGGUGAAAUGCGUAGAGAUCUGGAGGAAUACCGGUGGCGAAGGAGGCCCCCUGGAGGAAGACUGACGCUGAGGUGCGAAAGGGAGGGGAGCAAACAGG